AGCGAACGCUGGCGGCGUGCCUAACACAUGCAAGUCGAACGGUUCUGUUGGGGGCUUGCUCUCGACAGAGUAGUGGCAAACGGGUGAGUAACACGUGGGUAAUCUUCCUUCGAGUGAGGAAUAACUUCGGGAAACCGGAGCUAAUACCGCAUAACAUCUUGGAACGGCAGUUUCAAGAUCAAAGGGGGCGCAAGCUCCCGCUUGAAGUUGAGCUCGCGUCCUAUCAGCUAGUUGGUGAGGUAAUGGCUCACCAAGGCUCCGACGGGUAGCCGGCCUGAGAGGGUGGCCGGCCACACUGGGACUGAGACACGGCCCAGACUCCUACGGGAGGCAGCAGUGGGGAAUAUUGCGCAAUGGACGAAAGUCUGACGCAGCGACGCCGCGUGGGUGAUGAAGGCCUUCGGGUCGUAAAGCCCUGUUGAGGGAGAGAAAGCUACUGUCGGUUAAUACCCGGCAGUGGUGAUAGUAUCCCUAGAGAAAGCACCGGCUAACUACGUG
rnacentral:rRNA from 1 species